UACGUAGGGUGCAAGCGUUGUCCGGAAUUAUUUGGGCGUAAAGAGCUUGUAGGCGGUUUGUCGCGUCUGCUGUGAAAUUUCGGGGCUCAACCCCGAACUUGCAGUGGGUACGGGCAGACUAGAGUGUGGUAGGGGAGACUGGAAUUCCUGGUGUAGCGGUGAAAUGCGCAGAUAUCAGGAGGAACACCGAUGGCGAAGGCAGGUCUCUGGGCACUACUGACGCUGAGAAGCGAAAGCAUGGGGAGCGAACAGG
rnacentral:rRNA from 1 species